rnacentral:rRNA from 1 species
AGAGUUUGAUCAUGGCUCAGAUUGAACGCUGGCGGCAUGCCUUACACAUGCAAGUCGAACGGCAGCACGAGAGCUUGCUCUUGGUGGCGAGUGGCGAACGGGUGAGUAAUAUAUCGGAACGUACCCUAGAGUGGGGGAUAACGUAGCGAAAGUUACGCUAAUACCGCAUACGAUCUACGGAUGAAAGUGGGGGAUCGCAAGACCUCAUGCUCAUGGAGCGGCCGAUAUCUGAUUAGCUAGUUGGUGGGGUAAAAGCUCACCAAGGCGACGAUCAGUAGCUGGUCUGAGAGGACGACCAGCCACACUGGAACUGAGACACGGUCCAGACUCCUACGGGAGGCAGCAGUGGGGAAUUUUGGACAAUGGGCGCAAGCCUGAUCCAGCAAUGCCGCGUGAGUGAAGAAGGCCUUCGGGUUGUAAAGCUCUUUUGUCAGGGAAGAAACGGUGGACUCUAAUACAGAUCACUAAUGACGGUACCUGAAGAAUAAGCACCGGCUAACUACGUGCCAGCAGCCGCGGUAAUACGUAGGGUGCAAGCGUUAAUCGGAAUUACUGGGCGUAAAGCGUGCGCAGGCGGUUGUGCAAGACAGAUGUGAAAUCCCCGGGCUCAACCUGGGAAUUGCAUUUGUGACUGCACGGCUAGAGUGUGUCAGAGGGGGGUAGAAUUCCACGUGUAGCAGUGAAAUGCGUAGAGAUGUGGAGGAAUACCGAUGGCGAAGGCAGCCCCCUGGGAUAACACUGACGCUCAUGCACGAAAGCGUAGGGAGCAAACAGGAUUAGAUACCCUGGUAGUCCACGCCCUAAACGAUGUCUACUAGUUGUCGGGUCUUAAUUGACUUGGUAACGCAGCUAACGCGUGAAGUAGACCGCCUGGGGAGUACGGUCGCAAGAUUAAAACUCAAAGGAAUUGACGGGGACCCGCACAAGCGGUGGAUGAUGUGGAUUAAUUCGAUGCAACGCGAAAAACCUUACCUACCCUUGACAUGUCUGGAAUCCUUGAGAGAUCAGGGAGUGCUCGAAAGAGAAUCAGAACACAGGUGCUGCAUGGCUGUCGUCAGCUCGUGUCGUGAGAUGUUGGGUUAAGUCCCGCAACGAGCGCAACCCUUGUCAUUAGUUGCUACGAAAGGGCACUCUAAUGAGACUGCCGGUGACAAACCGGAGGAAGGUGGGGAUGACGUCAAGUCCUCAUGGCCCUUAUGGGUAGGGCUUCACACGUCAUACAAUGGUACAUACAGAGGGCCGCCAACCCGCGAGGGGGAGCUAAUCCCAGAAAGUGUAUCGUAGUCCGGAUUGUAGUCUGCAACUCGACUACAUGAAGUUGGAAUCGCUAGUAAUCGCGGAUCAGCAUGUCGCGGUGAAUACGUUCCCGGGUCUUGUACACACCGCCCGUCACACCAUGGGAGCGGGUUUCACCAGAAGUGGGUAGCCUAACCGCAAGGAGGGCGCUCACCACGGUGGGAUUCGUGACUGGGGUGAAGUCGUAACAAGGUA